rnacentral:rRNA from 1 species
UACGGGAGGCAGCAGUAGGGAAUCUUCCGCAAUGGGCGAAAGCCUGACGGAGCAACGCCGCGUGAGUGAUGAAGGUCUUCGGAUCGUAAAGCUCUGUUGUUAGGGAAGAACAAAUGUGUAAGUAACUAUGCACAUCUUGACGGUACCUAACCAGAAAGCCACGGCUAACUACGUGCCAGCAGCCGCGGUAAUACGUAGGUGGCAAGCGUUAUCCGGAAUUAUUGGGCGUAAAGCGCGCGUAGGCGGU